UGAUAGAUACUGAGUCCUUUGU
rnacentral:misc_RNA from 1 species